AAUGAACGCUGGCGGCAGGCCUAACACAUGCAAGUCGAACGGAUCCUUCGGGAUUAGUGGCGGACGGGUGAGUAACGCGUGGGAACAUACCCUUUGGUACGGAAUAGCCUCGGGAAACUGGGAGUAAUACCGUAUGUGGUCGAGAGACGAAAGAUUUAUCGCCAAAGGAUUGGCCCGCGUUGGAUUAGGUAGUUGGUGGGGUAAUGGCCUACCAAGCCGACGAUCCAUAGCUGGUUUGAGAGGAUGAUCAGCCACACUGGGACUGAGACACGGCCCAGACUCCUACGGGAGGCAGCAGUGGGGAAUCUUAGACAAUGGGGGAGACCCUGAUCUAGCCAUGCCGCGUGGUCGAUGAAGGCCUUAGGGUUGUAAAGAUCUUUCAGGUGGGAAGAUAAUGACUGUACCACCAGAAGAAGCCCCGGCUAACUCCGUGCCAGCCGCCGCCGUAAUAC
rnacentral:rRNA from 1 species